rnacentral:lncRNA from 13 species
AUGGACAUCAGAUCUGUCUUUGUAGAUGGCCAUGGAGCUCUGUUUGCCUGGGCCUCUGAGCCGACCAGCCAGGGGGCCAGCCAGGGGACCAGCCAGGGGGACAGCAGCCUCUGGAGGAGGAAUAGUAAGUAUCAGAAUAGUGAAAGAAAGAUGAAUGCCUGGUAUGGUGCCACAGAGCAGAGUCCUGUACUAUGUAUCUGGUACCACAGAGUCCUGUACUAUGUAUCUGGUACCACAGAGUCCUGUACUACGUAUCUGGUACCACAGAACAGAGUCCUGUACUAUGUAUCUGGUACCACAGAGUCCUGUACUAUGUAUCUGGUACCACAGAGUCCUGUACUACGUAUCUGGUACCACAUAACAGAGUCGUGUACUAUGUAUCUGGUACCACAGAGUCCUGUACUAUGUAUCUGGUACCACAGAGUCCUGUACUAUGUAUCCGGUACAACAGAGUCCUGUUAUAUGUAUCUGGUACCACAGAGUCCUGUACUAUGUAGCUGGUACCACAUAACAGAGUCCUGUACUAUGUAUCUGGUACCACAGAGUCCUGUACUAUGUAUCUGGUACCACAGAACAGAGUCCUGUACUAUGUAUCUGGUACAACAGAGUCCUGUUCUAUUAUCUGGUACCACAGAGUCCUGUACUAUGUAUCUGGUACCACAGAACAGAGUCCUGUACUAUGUAUCUGGUGCCACAGAGUCCUGUAAACGUAUCUGGUACCACAGAGUCCCUGUACUAUGUAUCUGGUACCACAGAACAGAGCCCUAAACUACGUAGCUGGUACCACAGAACAGAGCCCGACUCUCUUUAUCACUUUAUCUCUUUACCACUUUAUCACUUCACCACAAACAACUUUAUUACUUUACCAUUUAAAGCUUCUUAGGGAUAGGGGGCAGUAUUCGGAAGUUUGGAUGAAUGAGGUGCCCAAACUUAACUGCCUGUUACUCAGGCCCAGAAGCUAGGAAAUGCAUAUAAUAACGAUUAAAAAUGGACUGCUACUGAUGUAAAAUAUUACUAGGUCUUUAAGAGUUUAUUCGGAAGAUAACAGCUCUAUAAACACUCUUUCGUGGUGCCCCAACUUUCUAGUUAAUUAUUUACCUGAUUAGCUUAAUCCGGUAAUAUUAAUUACAGAGAAAUUAUUUUAUAGAAUAGCAUGUCAUAUCACUUGAUCCGGCAUAGCCAAAGACACGACAUCACAUUACAAGACAGGACCGUGCAGUAUCGAAGAGCUCUUACUGCUGUUCGAUCAUCCUAUUUUUCCAACUUAAUUGAGGAAAAUAAGAACAAUCCGAAAUUCCUUUUUGAUACUGUCGCAAAGCUAACUAAAAAGCAGCAUUCCCCAAGAGAGGAUGGCUUUCACUUCAGCAGUAAUAAAUUAAUGAACUUCUUUGAGGAAAAGAUCAUGAUUAUUAGAAAGCAAAUUACGGACUCCUCUUUAAAUCUGCGUAUUCCUUCAAAGCUCAGUUAUCCUGAGUCUGCACAACUCUGCCAGGACCUAGGAUCAAGAGAGACACUCAAGUGUUUUAGUACUAUAUCUCUUGACACAAUGAUGAAAAUAAUCAUGGCCUCUAAACCUUCAAGCUGCAUACUGGACCCUAUUCCAACUAAACUACUGAAAGAGCUGCUUCCUGUGCUUGGCCCUCCUAUGUUGAACAUAAUAAACAGCUCUCUAUCCACCGGAUGUGUACCAAACUCACUAAAAGUGACAGUAAUAAAGCCUCUCUUGAAAAAGCCAAACCAUGACCCAGAAAAUAUAAAAAACUAUCGGCCUAUAUCGAAUCUUCCAUUCCUCUCCAAUUUUUUUAGAAAAGGCUGUUGCGCAGCAACUCAUUGCCUUCCUGAAGACAAACAAUGUAUACGAAAUGCUUCAGUCUGGUUUUAGACCCCAUCAUAGCACUGAGACUGCACUUGUGAAGGUGGUAAAUUACCUUUUAAUGGCAUCAGACCGAGGCUCUGCAUCUGUCCUCGUGCUCCAAGACCUUAGUGCUGCUUUUGAUACCAUCGAUCACCACAUUCUUUUGGAGAGAUUGAAAACCCAAAUUGGUCUACACGGACAAGUUCUGGCCUGGUUUAGAUCUUAUCUGUCGGAAAAAUAUCAGUUUGUCCUCUGACAAAUCAACUGUCAAUUUCGGUGUUCCUCAAGGUUCAGUUUUAGGACCACUAUUGUUUUCACUAUAUAUUUCACCUCUUGGGGAUGUCAUUCGAAAACAUAAUGUUAACUUUCACUGCUAUGCGGAUGACACACAGCUGUACAUUUCAAUGAAACAUGGUGAAGCCCCAAAAUUGCCCUCGCUAGAAGCAUGUGUUUCAGUCAUAAGGAAGUGGAUGGCUGCAAACUUUCUACUUUUAAACUCGGACAAAACAGAGAUGCUUGUUCUAGGUCCCAAGAAACAAAGAUAUCUUCUGUUGAAUCUGACAAUUAAUCUUGAUGGUUGUACAGUCGUCUCAAAUAAAACUGUGAAGGACCUCGGCAUUACUCUGGACCCUGAUCUCUCUUUUGAAGAACAUAUCAAGACUGUUUCAAGGACAGCUUUUUUCCAUCUACGUAACAUUGCAAAAAUCAGAAACUUUCUGUCCAAAAAUGAUGCGGAAAAAUUAAUCCAUGCUUUUGUCACUUCUAGGUUAGACUACUGCAAUGCUCUACUUUCCGGCUACCCGGAUAAAGCCACUAAAUAAACCCCAGUUAGUGCUAAAUACAGCUGCUAGAAUCCUGACUAGAACCAAAAAAUGUGAUCAUAUUACUCCAAUGCUAGCCUCCCUACACUGGCUUCCUGUCAAGGCACGGGCUGAUUUCAAGGUUUUACUGCUAACCUACAAAGCAUUACAUGGGCUUGCUCCUACCUAUUUCUCUGAUUUGGUCCUGCCGUACAUACCUACACGUACGCUACAGUCACAAGAAGCAGGCCUCCUAAUUGUCCCUAGAAUUUCUUAGCAAACAGCUGGAGGCAGGGCUUUCUCCUAUAGAGCUCCAUUUUUAUGGAAUGGUCUGCCUAUCCAUGUGAGAGACGCAAACUCGGUCUCAACCUUUAAGUCUUUACUGAAGACUCAUCUCUUCAGUGGGUCAUAUGAUUGAGUGUAGUCUGGCCCAGGAGUGUGAAGGUGAACAGAAAGGCUCUGGAGCAACGAACCGCCCUUGCUGUCUCUGCCUGGCCGGUUCCCCUCUUUCCACUGGGAUUCUUUGCCUCUAACCCUAUUACAGGGGCUGAGUCACUGGCUUACUGGUGCUCUUUCAUACUGUCCCUAGGAGGGGUGCGUCACUUGAGUGGGUUGAGUCACUGAUGUGAUCUUCCUGUCUGGGUUGGCGCCCCCCCUUGGGUUGUGCCGUGGCGGAGGUCUUUGUGGGAUAUACUCGGCCUUGUCUCAGGAUGGUAAGUUGGUGGUUGAAGAUAUCCCUCUAGUAGUGUGGGGGCUGUGCUUUGGCAAAGUGGGUUGGGUUAUAUCCUUCCUGUUUGGCCCUGUCCAGGGGUGUCAUCGGAUGGGGCCACAGUGUCUCCUGACCCCUCCUGUCUCAGCCUCCAGUAUUUAUGCUGCAGUAGUUUAUGUGUCGGGGGGCUAGGGUCAGUUUGUUAUAUCUGGAGUACUUCUCCUGUCGUAUCCGGUGUCCUGUGUGAAUUUAAGUAUGCUCUCUCUAAUUCUCUCUUCCUCUCUUUCUUUCUCUCUCUUGGAGGUCCUGAGCCCUAGGACCAUGCCUCAGGACUACCUGUCAUGAUGACUCCUUGCUGUCCCCAGUCCACCUGGCCGUGCUGCUGCUCCAGUUUCAACUGUUCUGCCUGUGAUUAUUAUUAUUAGACCAUGCUGGUCAUUUAUAAACAUUUGAACAUCUUGGCCAUGUUCUGUUAUAAUCUCCACAAGGCACAGCCAGAAGAGGACUGGCCACCCCUCAUAGCCUGGUUCCUCUCUAGGUUUCUUCCUAGGUUUUGGCCUUUCUAGGGAGUUUUUCCUAGCCACCGUUCUUCUACACCUGCAUUGCUUGCUGUUUGGGGUUUUAGGCUGGGUUUCUGUACAGCACUUUGAGAUGUCAGCUGAUAUAAGAAGGGCUAUAUAAAUACAUUUGAUUUGAUUUGAUCACUGCCCUCUGCAUUACCUUUUACACCUUAGGGAACUGACUUUCCCUAGCCUGGAUUCCAGUCUGUGUCUUUGUAACUGACUUUCCCUAGCCUGGAUUCCAGUCUGUGUCUUUGUAACUUACUUUCCCUAGCCUAGAUGCCAUUGUGCUUCUGGGUAACUGACAUUCCCUAGCCUGGAUGCCAUUCUGUUUCUGAGUAACUUACUUCGCCAGGUGUUCCCUAAUCUGGGUUCCAGUCUGUUUCUGGGUAAAUUACUUUCCCUUGCCUGCAUGCCAGUCUGUUUCUUGGUAUUUGACUUUCCCUAGCCUGGAUGCCAGUCUGUUUCUGGUUGACUAACAAUCCCUAGCCUGGAUGCCAGUCUGUUUCUGGUUGACUAACAUUCCCUAGCCUGGAUGCCAGUCUGUUUCUGGUUGACUAACAUUCCCUAGCCUGGUUGCCAGUCUGUUUCUGGUUGACUAACAUUCCCUAGCCUGGAUGCCAGUCUGUUUCUGGUUGACUAACAUUCGCUAGCCUGGAUGCCAGUCUGUUUCUGGUUGACUAACAUUCCCUAGCCUGGUUGCCAGUCUGUUUCUGGUUGACUAACAUUCCCUAGCCUGGAUACCAGUCUGUUUCUGGUUGACUAACAUUCCCUAG